rnacentral:rRNA from 1 species
UACGUAGGGGGCAAGCGUUGUUCGGAAUUACUGGGCGUAAAGCGCACGUAGGCGGACUUUUAAGUCGGUGGUGAAAUCCUGGAGCUCAACUCCAGAACUGCCUCCGAUACUGAGAGUCUUCGAGUCCGGGAGAGGUGAGUGGAACUGCGAGUGUAGAGGUGAAAUUCGUAGAUAUUCGCAAGAACACCAGUGGCGAAGGCGGCUCACUGGCCCGGUACUGACGCUGAGGUGCGAAAGCCAGGGGAGCAAACGGG